AUGUCAAUAAGCGCAAAUAGUGCUUCAUCUCAGUGUAGAAUAACUUGUUUGUCAUCAUCCAUCGGUAAGUUGGAUAUUGUUGUCAUUUUGCAGGGUCCUAACUUGGUUAUCAGUCAGAGCAAAGCUUGCUUAGAUAAUAUGAAUGAAUGGUGUAAAACCCAUCAUGCAUCUAGUGAGAGAGUACUGCAGAGUGAGAUUUCUGAGGGUGACGCGGAGAAACAAGUGUUAGACUUCCUCAUGAGGCAUGUAGGUUCAGACACUCCAAUAGCUGGGAAUUCAGUUUACGUAGAUUUACUAUUUCUAAAGGAUUCUCAAUCUCAAAGGAAUGGUAGCACGUGA
rnacentral:rRNA from 1 species